UACGUAGGGUGCAAGCGUUGUCCGGAAUUAUUGGGCGUAAAGAGCUCGUAGGCGGUUUGUCGCGUCUGCUGUGAAAACGCGAGGCUCAACCUCGCGCCUGCAGUGGGUACGGGCAGACUAGAGUGCGGUAGGGGAGAUCGGAAUUCCUGGUGUAGCGGUGAAAUGCGCAGAUAUCAGGAGGAACACCGGUGGCGAAGGCGGAUCUCUGGGCCGUAACUGACGCUGAGGAGCGAAAGCAUGGGGAGCGAACAGG
rnacentral:rRNA from 1 species